UUCAGGAUGGCCGAGUGGUCUAAGGCGCUGCGUUCAGGUCGCAGUCCACUUGUGUGGGUUUGAAUCCCACUUCUGACA